rnacentral:rRNA from 1 species
UACGGAGGGUGCAAGCGUUGUCCGGAUUUAUUGGGUUUAAAGGGUGCGUAGGUGGCCGGUUAAGUCUGACCUGAAAGUGGCCCGCUCAACGGGACAGGGUGGUUGGAUACUGACCGGCUUGAAGCAGGUGGAGGUUGCCGGAACGGAUGGUGUAGCGGUGAAAUGCAUAGAGAUCAUCCAGAACGUCGAUUGCGUAGGCAGGUGGCUACGCCUGGCUUGACACUGAGGCACGAAAGCAUGGGGAGCAAACAGG